GCACUAGAUGCCGGCCGAUGACGCAACUAAUAAUAAUGGCAUGGCUUUGGAGCGCCCCACUCCAGUGACAAACAAUCGGGGUGAAGAAGAAGAAGAUUGCAUAGGAUGCUGCUUCCGGAUCCAAAGGAACAAUCGACAGACGUCACAAAGAUCCACCUCUGGCUGCAUCAGAAAGUUAUGCUCCUGGCGCCACCAGCGAGUGCACCCCGCUAAUGGGUCGGGGACAGAAGAAACCCCGGGCUCCCAUGAAAGGCUGCCCAGCACCGCAGGAGGAAUAGAGGCUCCAAGUGGCUGCACAAUGCCGGCCGAUGACGCAACUAAUAAUAAUGGCAUGGCUUUGGAGCGCCCCACUCCAGUGACAAACAAUCGGGGUGAAGAAGAAGAAGAUUGCAUAGGAUGCUGCUUCCGGAUCCAAAGGAACAAUCGACAGACGUCACAAAGAUCCACCUCUGGCUGCAUCAGAAAGUUAUGCUCCUGGCGCCACCAGCGAGUGCACCCCGCUAAUGGGUCGGGGACAGAAGAAACCCCGGGCUCCCAUGAAAGGCUGCCCAGCACCGCAGGAGGAAUAGAGGCUCCAAGUGGCUGCACAAUGCCGGCCGAUGACGCAACUAAUAAUAAUGGCAUGGCUUUGGAGCGCCCCACUCCAGUGACAAACAAUCGGGGUGAAGAAGAAGAAG
rnacentral:lncRNA from 1 species